rnacentral:tRNA from 38 species
GCGGGCGUGGCGAAACUGGUAGACGCAAGGGACUUAAAAUCCCUCGGCCUUGGCUGUACGGGUUCGACCCCCGUCGCCCGCACCA